UACGGGGGGGGCAAGCGUUGUUCGGAAUUACUGGGCGUAAAGGGCUCGUAGGUGGCCAACUAAGUCAGACGUGAAAUCCCUCGGCUUAACCGGGGAACUGCGUCUGAUACUGGAUGGCUUGAGUUUGGGAGAGGGAUGCGGAAUUCCAGGUGUAGCGGUGAAAUGCGCAGAUAUCGGGAGGAACACCAAUGGCGAAGGCAGCUCGCUGGGACGUUACUGACGCUGAGACGCGAAAGCGUGGGGAGCGAACAGG
rnacentral:rRNA from 1 species